rnacentral:rRNA from 1 species
GGCGGCGUGCCUAACACAUGCAAGUCGAACGGAGAUUACGGACGGAAGUUUUCGGAUGGAAGUUUGUAAUUCUUAGUGGCGGACGGGUGAGUAACGCGUGGGCAACCUGCCCUAUACAGGGGGAUAGCAGCUGGAAACGGCUGGUAAGACCGCAUAAGUCGGUUAAAUCGCAUGAUUUGAUCGGGAAAUGAGCAAUCAGGUAUAGGAUGGGCCCGCGUCCGAUUAGCCAGUUGGCAGGGUAAAAGCCUACCAAAGCGACGAUCGGUAGCCGGACUGAGAGGUCGGACGGCCACAUUGGGACUGAGACACGGCCCAAACUCCUACGGGAGGCAGCAGUGGGGGAUAUUGCACAAUGGAGGAAACUCUGAUGCAGCGACGCCGCGUGAGUGAAGAAGUAUUUUCGGUAUGUAAAGCUUCUAUUCAGC